CCCUUAGGCGUUCUGGGCCGCACGCGCGCUACACUGACCAGUGCAACAAGCAUCCGUCCUUGGCCGACAGGCCCGGGCAAUCUUUGAACGCUGGUCGUGAUGGGGAUAGACUUUUGCAAUUUUUGGUCUUCAACGAGGAAUUCCUAGUAAACGCAAGUCAUCAACUUGCAUUGAUUACGUCCCUGCCCUUUGUACACACCGCCCGUCGCACCUACCGAUUGAAUGGUCCGGUGAAGCCUCCGGAUUGGCGCGCACCCCGGUGCCGCCGAGAAGUUGGCUAAACCUUACCAUUUAGAGGAAGGUGAAGUCGUAACA
rnacentral:rRNA from 1 species